AGUGAACGCUGGCGGUAGGCCUAACACAUGCAAGUCGAACGGCAGCACAGUAAGAGCUUGCUCUUACGGGUGGCGAGUGGCGGACGGGUGAGGAAUACAUCGGAAUCUACUUUUUCGUGGGGGAUAACGUAGGGAAACUUACGCUAAUACCGCAUACGACCUACGGGUGAAAGCAGGGGAUCUUCGGACCUUUCGCGAUUGAAUGAGCCGAUGUCGGAUUAGCUAGUUGGCGGGGUAAAGGCCCAACAAGGCGACGAUCCGUAGCUGGUCUGAGAGGAUGAUUGGCCACCCUGUAACGGAGAAACGGUCCCGACUCAAACGGGGGGCAGCAGUGGGGAAUCUUGGUCGAUGGGCGAAUGCCUGAUCCAGGAAUACCGCGUGGGUGAUGAAGGCGUUCGGCUUGUAGAGCCAUUAUGUUGGGAAAGAAAAGCAGCAGGUUAAUACCCGGCUGUUAUGACGGUACCCAAAGAAUAAGCACCGGCUAACUUCGUG
rnacentral:rRNA from 1 species